ACGUUCGCUCACUUCCUCUCCCCCUACUCUCUCCCUCUCCCAUCUCCCCAAUCCCUGCUCCACGAGCCACCACCGCCUCCGCCACAACCCCUCAUCUCCCCCUACGUCGUGCCUCCUCCCUCUCGAUGGUGCCUUGGCAUGCUCCCAAUCAAUAAUUCCUUGAGCUCGUCGGCAUACUGCUGUUAACGACCAGCAUCAACAACUGCAUGGAUUCGGAGGUGGCAGCAACAGGCGGAUCGAGCGCUAGUGGUGUUUGGUGCUCUCACGAGCAAAUCCGGCAACAGCAAGGGCUCUAGCAGGCGGAUCCAGCGGUGGGUGCUCUUGCGAGCACAUCCGGCAGUAGCAAGGGCUCUAGCAGGCGGAUCCAGCGGUGGGUGCUCUCGCAGGCCGAUCCAGUGGCGGCAAGGGCUCUCACGGCGGUGGCGGCGGGUGCCAUCGUGGGCUGAUCUGGUGGCAGCAAGGGCUCUAGCAGGCGGAUCCAGCGGCGGCAAGGGCUCUCGCGGCGGCGGGUGCUCUUGCGGGCAGAUCCAGCAGUGACAAUGACUUGUGGGCGGAUCCAGCGAUGUCGCUCUCUCGCAUGGACCUAGGGAUGGUAAGCGGCAUCGAAGCCCUCCCCAGCGAGCUAUGGCAACGGGCGGAGUUCUCCACUAUGAUGGCGGCUAGGUGUUGCGAUUAGUGUAUUGUGUGUUGAUUCUAUGAUGAUGUGCUUGUGUACUUCGGUUCUCGGAUGUUGAGCGAUGAAUGUUCGAUUGUGACGUG
rnacentral:sRNA from 1 species